rnacentral:rRNA from 1 species
UUGGAGGGCAAGUCUGGUGCCAGCAGCCGCGGUAAUUCCAGCUCCAAUAGCGUAUAUUAAAGUUGUUGCAGUUAAAAAGCUCGUAGUUGAACUUCGGGGUUUACCCAUUGGUCAGGCUUAAUUGUCUGUACUGGUGAGAUAAAUCUCUACCUUCUGAGGAACUUUCAUGCCAUUUAGUUGGUGUGAUAGGAAAUCAGGACUGUUACUUUGAAAAAAUUAGAGUGUUUAAAGCAGGCUAACGUCUGAAUACAUUAGCAUGGAAUAAUGAAAUAGGACGGAUUGGUUCUAUUUCGUUGGUUUCUAGGAUCACCGUAAUGAUUAAUAGGGAUAGUUGGGGGCAUUAGUAUUCAAUUGUCAGAGGUGAAAUUCUUGGAUUUAUUGAAGACUAACUAUUGCGAAAGCAUUUGCCAAGGAUGUUUUCAUUAAUCAAGAACGAAAGUUAGGGGAUCGAAGACGAUCAGAUACCGUCGUAGUCUUAACCAUAAACUAUGCCGACUAGGGAUCGGAUGAUGUUAAUUUUUUAAUGACUCAUUCGGCGCCUUACGGGAAAC